GACGUAGGGCGCGAGCGUGUCCGGAUUUAUUGGGCGUAAAGAGCUCGUAGGCGGCUUGUUGCGUCGACCGUGAAAACCCGGGGCUCAACUUCGGGCUUGCGGUCGAUACGGGCGGGCUAGAGUUCGGUAGGGGAGACUGGAAUUCCUGGUGUAGCGGUGAAAUGCGCAGAUAUCAGGAGGAACACCGGUGGCGAAGGCGGGUCUCUGGGCCGAUACUGACGCUGAGGAGCGAAAGCGUGGGGAGCGAACAGG
rnacentral:rRNA from 1 species